AUUGAACGCUGGCGGCAGGCCUAACACAUGCAAGUCGAGCGAGCGGCGGACGGGUGAGUAAUGUAUGGGGACUGCCCGAUAGAGGGGGAUAACUACUGGAAACGGUGGCUAAUACUGCAUACUAUCGGAUAACCCAUAUGGGAUUAGCUAGUAGGUGGGGUAAAGGCUCACCUAGGCGACGAUCUCUAGCUGGUCUGAGAGGAUGACCAGCCACUCUGGGGCGUGGACAGUGCCCAGACUCCUCCGGAGGCAGCAGUGGGGAAUAUUGCACACUGGGCGCUAUCCUGAUGCAGCCAUGCCGCGUGUCUGUAGAAGGCCUUAGGGUUGUAAAGUACGUUCAGCUGGGAGGCGUUACCCGCAGAAGAAGCACCGGCUAACUCCGUGCCAGCCGCCGCGGUAAUAC
rnacentral:rRNA from 1 species